rnacentral:rRNA from 1 species
UACGUAGGGUGCAAGCGUUAUCCGGAAUUAUUGGGCGUAAAGAGCUCGUAGGCAGUCUGUCGCGUCUGCUGUGAAAACCCAAGGCUCAACCUCGGGCCUGCAGUGAAUACGAGCAAACUAGAGUGCAAUAGGGGAGAUUGGAAUUCCUGGUGUAGCGGUGGAAUGCGCAGAUAUCAGGAGGAACACCGAUGGCGAAGGCAGAUCUCUGGGCCGUAACUGACGCUGAGGUGCGAAAGCGUGGGUAGCAAACAGG